AUUGAACGCUGGCGGUAGGCUUAACACAUGCAAGUCGUGCGAGAAAGUAUCUUCGGAUAUGAGUAGAGCGGCGGACGGGUGAGUAACGCGUGGGAAUCUACCUAGUAGAAGGGGAUAGCCCGGGGAAACUCGGAUUAAUACCGUAUACCUCCUUCGGGAGAAAGAAGGCCUCUCUUUGAAGCUUUCGCUAUUAGAUGAGCCUGCGUAAGAUUAGCUUGUUGGUGAGGUAAAGGCUCACCAAGGCGACGAUCUUUAGCGGGUCUGAGAGGACGAUCCGCCACAUUGGGACUGAGACACGGCCCAGACUCCUACGGGAGGCAGCAGUGGGGAAUAUUGGACAAUGGGCGCAAGCCUGAUCCAGCCAUACCGCGUGUGUGAAGAAGGCCCUAGGGUUGUAAAGCACUUUAAGUUGGGAAGAAAAGUUAUUGGUUAAUACCCAAUAACCGUGACAUUACCAUCAGAAUAAGGACCGGCUAAUUCCGUGCCAGCAGCCGCGGUAAUACGGAAGGUCCAAGCGUUAAUCGGAAUUACUGGGCGUAAAGCGCGCGUAGGUGGUUUAUUAGGUUGGAUGUGAAAUCCCCGGGCUCAACCUGGGAACUGCAUCCAAAACUGAUUCACUAGAGUACGAUAGAGGGAGGUAGAAUUCACAGUGUAGCGGUGGAAUGCGUAGAUAUUGUGAAGAAUACCAAUGGCGAAGGCAGCCUCCUGGAUCUGUACUGACACUGAGGUGCGAAAGCGUGGGUAGCGAACAGGAUUAGAUACCCUGGUAGUCCACGCCGUAAACGAUGUCAACUAGCUGUUGGAAAACUAUGUUUUUCAGUGGCGCAGCUAACGUAGUAAGUUGACCGCCUGGGGAGUACGGCCGCAAGGCUAAAACUCAAAUGAAUUGACGGGGACCCGCACAAGCGGUGGAGCAUGUGGUUUAAUUCGAUGCAACGCGAAAAACCUUACCUAUACUUGACAUACUUGGAAUGCUUUGUAAUGAAGCAGUGCCUUCGGGAGCCAAGAUACAGGUGCUGCAUGGCUGUCGUCAGCUCGUGUCGUGAGAUGUUCCGUUAAGUCGGAUAACGAGCGCAACCCUUACCCUUAUUUGCCAGCGAUUCGGUCGGGAACUAUAAGGGGACUGCCGGUGAUAAACCGGAGGAAGGUGAGGACGACGUCAAGUCAUCAUGGCCCUUACGUAUAGGGCUACACACGUGCUACAAUGGAGAAUACAGACGGACGCUAAGCCGCGAGGUGGUGCUAAUCCUAGAAAAUUCUUCGUAGUCCGGAUUGGAGUCUGCAACUCGACUCCAUGAAGUCGGAAUCGCUAGUAAUCGCGAAUCAGCAUGUCGCGGUGAAUACGUUCUCGGGUCU
rnacentral:rRNA from 1 species